GGAUGUGAGGGCGAUCUGGUUGAGACAUCUGGUACCCCAUUGAUAUCCAAGUUUGAUUCUGCUGAUCUGGCUGGCUAGGCGGGUGUCACCUUCCUUCUUCACCAUUGUGCAUCCCUCCCGAAGCUGUGCAUCCCUCCUGACGCUGUGCAUCCCUCCCGAAGCUGUGGAAGAGGACGACUGGUCAAGGGUGUGCAAGUAGCUGCGCUUCCCUGCUAGAACCUUGAAACAUGCUCUCAAGGGACAAAUCUUUGUUUCUCGGAAAUGGUAGGAGAGAACAAUGGGAGCUGAGAAAGAACAUGGGGUAGUCACCUGAUUUGUUGGAUGGACUUUUAUU
rnacentral:snRNA from 1 species